rnacentral:rRNA from 1 species
AUGAACGCUGGCGGCGUGCCUAAUACAUGCAAGUCGAGCGAACAGACGAGGAGCUUGCUCCUCUGACGUUAGCGGCGGACGGGUGAGUAACACGUGGAUAACCUACCUAUAAGACUGGGAUAACUUCGGGAAACCGGAGCUAAUACCGGAUAAUAUAUUGAACCGCAUGGUUCAAUAGUGAAAGACGGUUUUGCUGACACUUAUAGAUGGAUCCGCGCCGCAUUAGCUAGUUGGUAAGGUAACGGCUUACCAAGGCAACGAUGCGUAGCCGACCUGAGAGGGUGAUCGGCCACACUGGAACUGAGACACGGUCCAGACUCCUACGGGAGGCAGCAGUAGGGAAUCUUCCGCAAUGGGCGAAAGCCUGACGGAGCAACGCCGCGUGAGUGAUGAAGGUCUUCGGAUCGUAAAACUCUGUUAUUAGGGAAGAACAAAUGUGUAAGUAACUAUGCACGUCUUGACGGUACCUAAUCAGAAAGCCACGGCUAACUACGU